rnacentral:rRNA from 1 species
AUUGAACGCUGGCGGCAGGCCUAACACAUGCAAGUCGAACGAGUGGCGGACGGGUGAGUAAUGUCUGGGAAACUGCCCGAUGGAGGGGGAUAACUACUGGAAACGGUAGCUAAUACCGCAUACCAUCGGAUGUGCCCAGAUGGGAUUAGCUAGUAGGUGGGGUAACGGCUCACCUAGGCGACGAUCCCUAGCUGGUCUGAGAGGAUGACCAGCCAAAAGGGAACUGAGACACGGUCCAGACUCCUGCGGGAGGCAGGAGUGGGGAAUAGUGCAGAAUGGGCGCAAGCCUGAUGCAGCCAUGCCGAGUGUAUGAAGAAGGCCUUCGGGUUGUAAAGUACUUUCAGCGAGGAGGCGUUACUCGCAGAAGAAGCACCUGCUAACUCCGUGCCAGCAGCCGAGGUAAUAC